AGUGAACGCUGGCGGUAGGCCUAACACAUGCAAGUCGAACGGCAGCACAGUAAGAGCUUGCUCUUACGGGUGGCGAGUGGCGGACGGGUGAGGAAUACAUCGGAAUCUACUUUUUCGUGGGGGAUAACGUAGGGAAACUUACGCUAAUACCGCAUACGACCUACGGGUGAAAGCAGGGGAUCUUCGGACCUUGCGCGAUUGAAUGAGCCGAUGUCGGAUUAGCUAGUUGGCGGGGUAAAGGCCCACCAAGGCGACGAUCCGUCGCUGGUCUGAGAGGAUGAGGUGCCAGACUGGAACGGAUACACGGCCCAGACGCCUACGAGAGGCAGCAGUUAGGAAUACGGGACGAAGGGCGCAAGAAUGAUGGACCCAGGCCGCGAGCGUGAAGCAGGACUUCGGUGUGUAAGGCGAUGGUGUUCGGAAAGAAAAGCGGUUGGAUAAUAGCACAAGGUUCUGACGGUACCCAAAGAAGAAGCAACGGCUAAAUACGUG
rnacentral:rRNA from 1 species